UUACAUACCUGGACGGGGUCAAUGGGCGAUCAGAGAUGCCUAUGGCCUAGGUUGGCGGCCUCUAUUGCACAUUAUUGAGGUGCAUCAGCCUAACAUCUUCCAUUUGUCGAGAGUGUACGUCAUAAUUUGUGGUAGUUGGGGGCUAGUAUUUGUGCGGCCCCCUC